UAACAUGAGAGUUUGAUCCUGGCUCAGGAUGAACGCUGGCGGCGUGCUUAACACAUGCAAGUCGAACGGGGUUAUUAUGAAGGUUUACCGGAUUAAUAACCU
rnacentral:rRNA from 1 species